rnacentral:lncRNA from 1 species
AGGCGGCCCGGCGCGCCCCAUUCGCGAUGGGCACCCCAUCUUCCUCCUGGAAAAGCCGGGGGACACAGAGAAGGCGGAGGAGCACGCGGGGUGCAGGAGAGCCUACCAGCCCCUUUAGCCGCAGUGCUGGUGAUUCCGGCCGCUGAACCCGGAGAGGAAAGGCUCCCACGCGGCCAGCCGGCCUUGACUGUCCUCUCGCCCUGCCCUUGGCCGCAGUACCCUCCCCUCGGCUGCAGUAACCGCCCCCUACACCUCCAGCACAUUGUACCCGAGAGAAACUCACGGCGGUGCACUGCAGACACCGCCCAGCUCCAGGGCCCGAAGACCCUCCGACCAGGCCCCGGGAUGCCUGAGGUCUCCCAGGUCAUUACGUGGAGGAACUCAGGCCUGCUCCCUGCGCAGGAGGAGGAGGCGUCGCGGGAGCUGCAGUCCCCGAUCCUUCCCAGGAAGCCGGCCGGGUGGAAGGGGAGAGGGCCGUUAUCGUGGUGCGAAUCCAACUCGCAGCCUCUGGGAGCACGUUGCUAAUAAAGGUCAAAUUAAAACAACUAAGUGGUGCCGGCAGGGACGCGCCGCAUGGUCAGGAGAAGCCCGGCUAUUAAUCAUCCAUAAGGAGCAUUGCUCUUCUGGUGUGGGAGAAUGGGGCUGUGCGACAGCCCCCCGGAGUUGCGCUCUGCUCUGAACCCUAAGCUCCCCCAGAGCAAGUGGAUUGCGCAGCCUAUUACCCCACCUCCCCACGGCCCCCUCUUGGGGCGGCACCACCCUAGAUGGCAGGAAUUCGGAGAAAAUGCGGUGUCACGUCCGCCGCUAUGCCCGCACACGCGUCUGCGCCAACUCCAGCAACACGUGGGGACCGUGAAUCUGGGCGUCUGCUCUCCACUUAGGUGGUUAUGUCUUAAUCUUAACGUUACGGCCACGUUAAAAUUGAAGUUGAUUGAGACAAGAGAAUCCCAGAGCACAGCACGCAGACAGACAAUUUCACAAUUAAAAAAUAUGUACUUCCUUCUCCCCGCUCUCGUCACCUCCCCCUUUCCCCGCCAUUACCUACUCCCGUUUGGACUAGGGGCUGGGAGAGGAGGAGGAUGUAGUCCCUCCGAGUGCACAAGGGAGGCGGCGGGGCCACUUGUUGCUGCACCGCCAGAAGAGCUAAUUCCGAGCGGAUCUGGCAGGGAGUUAAAACCCUUCUCCUGGAUGCGACGCCCCAGAGACCGAGGCAGACGGCGAGAACAGAUUCAGCGCCUCGAGAUGUGCUUUCCAAUUUGAACUCUGGACCAUCUUUGCUUGAAAUGCUUUGUCUUGCACGUCUGGGAAUUACUCUGUGCGAUUAAACGCGUGACACACACACGCAUACGCGGGGUCGCCCCGCAGGGGGGAGGGUGCGUGGCACAGGAGCCUCGGACUUUCAGGGGCUCUGCACUUGGGGAGUGGUGCGAGGGGGACCGCCUCGGUGUGGCUGCUGACGUGAGACAGGUAACUCGGAAAGGUCUUCCUCCGGCUGCCUUGGUAAUGGGAAGCUGUGGGCAAAGGUGCAGGGGCGGUCCCGGAGCGCACACGGCGCAGUCCGCAGUGAAGGGCAGUGGUGUGGUGGGGCAGAGAGACUAGACAAGGGCAGGCGGGUUUUGCCGAUUCCGAGUUCAUCCGUCUACGGGGUCACGUUCUGUUGAGAAAAUGCGCGACACCCGGUAGGGAGAGAGUGACACUGACCAAGUGUCCCUGGAGGGCCGAGCCGUUUGCCCUCGGGAGGGGGUCGCGAGGCCCGUCAGCACUCGGCUCCCGCGGAAGCUGUGCUAGCGCGGCAGUCUCGCCGGCGCCUGGCCCCACCAGCCUUUGCCUUCAGCGUCCUCCGGUGGCAUCGUCCGAGAUUUGCGGAGCAGAAGCCGAGGACACGAGCAACUCGCUGUGGGCUUGAAGUGACCACGCCUUAGGGCUGUGAAAAGCUGCCCCGUGGUGACUUGGGUACGAGGAGGUUAAUAAAGUGCAGAAUUAGUCUUGAUUUUUACCUAAAAUGAAGCUGGUAGUACUGAGCGCUUAAAUGACUCCGCUAGGACCCUGGAGACCGCAGUGCGACUGGCAGGCACCUCUUCGCCCCCUCCGCGCCCCGCGCCGACGGUGGGAACAGCAGCGACAGCGCGACCGCAGCCUUCUAGUGCCUUCGCCCCCUCCCCCGCGGCCACACCUCACCCACCUCACCCGCCAAACCCCGCACUCCGCCGCCGUCCCUCCCCUGCGCGCUCCCGGCGCCAACCCAGCCAGAAGCGGGUGGAAGCCCGGGUCCAUGUGCAGGUGUCCUUGUGCGGGAGUAGGGGAGCUCAUAGGUCAGCGAUCCGCGACCCUACCCUGCCCUCAGCUCGGGGUCCACCCACGUGGAACCCGCCGGCCCCCGCGGGUACCCAACACCAGUCUCCCGGGCUCGGCUGCCGUUCCCUCGAAGCCCCAGGGCGCUCCCACGGGUCAAUGACCACCUCAGUCUUUCCUCAAGCCAGGGUUUGGCCAGUUGGGAAACCUCUUCGUCCCCUGCCCACAUCCCCUGGCAUCUCCGGACAAAGCCACUCGGCUUCCCGCCCCGGCAUCGGGAAAGAUGCGCGUGGAGAGCGCCUCCAGGCGCUGGGCCACGGUCCCGGUCCCUGGCCGUGCCUGCUGUGUGCGGAGCUGGGGCGGCGGGUACCGCCUGCGCGGGGCAGGCACCCCACUCGCCGUUCCUCCAGCACGGGCACUCGACCGCCGCGGCGCUGCAGGAAGGAGGCCCCGCCGCGCCGGUUCCUCCACACCCACGUGCCCCUCGUGUGCGCGCCCCCGGCCUGCAGAUGCUACAAGGCUGGCGCCGCCUGGAUUUCCGGGCGGCCCCACCCUCCGCGGCCGCUACGCCUCGCUCCCUGCAUUCAGUCUCCUUGGCGUCUCCGCUGCAGCAUCCAAGACCAGGCGCCGCCUCUGCUAGCCGUGCUGCCCAGCACGCCUGAGGGCCGCUGCCGGCAGGCCUCACCUCCCGCCCGGGUCCCCCACUCACCUUUCCUUCUGGACGGUGGGGUUCAAGCUCUGCACUGGGGCUGUUAAGCCACCGCCCACGACCUCCUGUAGGGUGCAGCGGGAGGGCGUUCCCGAGGCGCCAGCACCCUCUUUAAGCCCUUCCCCGGCUUUCUGCACAGCACCUUCAUCAGCCGGCCACCCUCCCUGACACUAAGGGAGGCAUAGCUCUCGCUCUUGCUCCCGCUUUCUCUCGCUCGUUCUCACACCAACGCCCACCUAUACACACACCUGAACACCGAGAGGCCAGGACCGGUAUCUCUCUCUUGAACUCUCAAUUCCAGCACUGCAGAGCACAUCACGUCGCUGACAGCAAAGUGAGGAGGUGGCACCUGUGAACUAGGUGGUUUCUUAAAAUUUAAGAAAUAGCCUUCUGCCCCUUGGCCUUUGCGUUCUUAAGACGAUUGUACUUUAUUUUUUAAAAAUAUAUAGCCCAGUAGUAUUCACACAUUAAAAAAUACAUAUUUAAAUGUUUCGAGAUAAUCAUAGAUUCACGUGCAGUUGUAAAAAAUAAUAAUAAUACAGAGAGAUCCUGUGCACCCACCCUUUACCCAGUUUCCCCCAGUGGUAAAAAUUCCCAAAACUAUGGUGCAAUAUCACAACCAGGAUACUAGCACUGGUAUAACCCCACCCAUCUUACUGAGAUUUCCCGUUUUACUUGUACUCAUUUCUCUCUCCUUCAACCUCUGUGUGUGUGUAAAUAAUUCUAUACAAUUUUAUCACAUGUGUAAAUUCAACUACCACCACAGUCAAGAUGCAGAACCGAACUUAUCACAGGAUCCCUCUUUUUGCCUUUUAUAACCACACCUACCUGGAGGGUGAGUGGCGAUCCCUGACUACUACUAAUCUACUUUCAAUUUUUUCCAAUUUUGUCGUUUCAAGAAUGUUGUACAGAUGAAAUUAUACAAUAAUGUAGUAUUUUCGGAUUGUCUUUAUUGACUCAGCAUAAUUCCCCUGAAAUGUAUCCAAUUAUUAUGUAUUAUCAAUAGAUGAUUCUUUUUUAUUAGUGGGUAGUAUUCAUGGGAUGGAGGUACCACGACGGUAGAUUAUUUAACCAUUCUCUCAUUGAAGGACUUAUUGCAGGGUUGUUUCCAGAUUUUGGCCGUUGCAAAUAAAGCUGCUGUGAACAUUCAUGUACAGGUUUCUGUGGGAACAUAAGUUUUCUCUGGGAUAAACGCUCAAGAGGGCAAUUGCUGGGUUAUGUGGUAAGCACACGUUUAGUUUUGUAAGAACUACCAUACUCUUUUCCAGAUUGCCUGUGCCAUUUUACAAUCCCAGCAGCAAUGUAGGUGUGAUCAAUUUUUUUCUUCACACUUGGCAGCAUUUGGUGGUGUCACUGUUUUUUUAUUUUAGUCAUUCGGAUAGGUAAGUAAUAUCUCAUUGUGGUUUUAAAUUGCAUUUUUCUGGUGGCUAAGGUAAUGAUAGUGAGCAUCUUUUUAUGUGCUGAUUUGCCAUCUG